GGAGGGUUGGCAGAACGGCUAUUGCGCAGCUCCCGAAAAGCUGUGGGAGUAAUCCCUUGCAGGUUCGAGUCCUGCACCCUCCG
rnacentral:tRNA from 1 species